rnacentral:misc_RNA from 1 species
CGCACAUUGCGCCCGUUGGUUAUCCGACGGGCACGUCUGUUUGAGCGUCAUCUCAACCCUUCGGCCCCGCCUUGUUCUCAGAACCGGGUGGGUGUUCCGGUAGUGAGCCCGGUCGGUCUGACCCGACUUGGUUCCAAAGUGGCACGCUCCAGCGGUACAACCCGACCAGGUCCAAAGAGACGUAGUAAGCCUUAGCAGCUGACUGUUUCGCCGGACGCAAGCGGGCAAAAGCGACCGCCUGAACAAAUCUUAUCACCAAGGUUUGACCUCAGAUCAGACGAGGAUACCCGCUGAACUUAA